GGCCAAGAACAAAUUAAGAGGGCAGAAAUCCAGGAAUGUAUUUCACAUAGCCAGCGAAAAAAAACUUUGGGGCUAAAAACAAAGCAAAACCAGUUACCACUAAUCUUGUUUUUUUUUUUUUUUUUUUUUUUUGUUUUUUUUGAGACAGAGUUUCACUCUUGUCACCCAGGCUGGAGUGUAUGGAGUGCAAUGGCGCAAUCUUGGCUCACCGCAACCUCUGCCUCCCGGGUUCAAGCGAUUCUCCUGCCUCAGCCUUCUUUGUAGCUGGGAUUAUAGGCACCUGCCAUAAUGCCUGGCUAAUUUUUGUAUUUUUAGUAGAGAUGGGAUUUCACCAGGUUGGCCAGCCUGGUCUUGAACUCCUGACCUCAGGUGACCCACCUGCCUUGGCCUCCCAAAGUGCUAGGAUUACAGGCGUGAGCCACCAUGCCCGACCACCACUAAUCUUAAGAAGAUAAACAUUAUGAAUGAUGAAAAAGCUAACAGAGUAAAUAAAGCUUUUGUAAAUGUACAAAAGGAACUUGCACAUUUCUCAAAAGGCCUUUCUCUUGAACAUCUACAGAAAGAAUUGAUUCCUCUGCAGUGUCAUGAAAGCAAACCAGUUAAUGUUGGUGAAGCUACAAAAUUAAUGGCUCAG
rnacentral:lncRNA from 10 species